rnacentral:rRNA from 1 species
GAUGAACGCUGGCGGCGUGCCUAAUACAUGCAAGUCGAGCGAACGGACGAGAAGCUUGCUUCUCUGAUGUUAGCGGCGGACGGGUGAGUAACACGUGGAUAACCUACCUAUAAGACUGGGAUAACUUCGGGAAACCGGAGCUAAUACCGGAUAAUAUUUUGAACCGCAUGGUUCAAAAGUGAAAGACGGUCUUGCUGUCACUUAUAGAUGGAUCCGCGCUGCAUUAGCUAGUUGGUAAGGUAACGGCUUACCAAGGCAACGAUGCAUAGCCGACCUGAGAGGGUGAUCGGCCACACUGGAACUGAGACACGGUCCAGACUCCUACGGGAGGCAGCAGUAGGGAAUCUUCCGCAAUGGGCGAAAGCCUGACGGAGCAACGCCGCGUGAGUGAUGAAGGUCUUCGGAUCGUAAAACUCUGUAUUAGGGAAGAACAUAUGUGUAAGUAACUGUGCACAUCUUGACGGUACCUAAUCAGAAAGCCACGGCUAACUACGUG